ACGUAGGGAGCAAGCGUUGUCCGGAUUUAUUGGGCGUAAAGAGCUCGUAGGCGGUUUAGAAAGUCGGGUGUGAAACCUCCAGGCUCAACCUGGAGCCGCCACUCGAUACUUCUAUGACUUGAGUUCGGUAGGGGAUCACGGAAUUCCUGGUGUAGCGGUGAAAUGCGCAGAUAUCAGGAGGAACACCGGUGGCGAAGGCGGGUCUCUGGGCCUUACCUGACGCUGAGGAGCGAAAGCAUGGGUAGCCGACAGGA
rnacentral:rRNA from 1 species